UACGGGGGGAGCAAGCGUUGUUCGGAUUUACUGGGCGUAAAGGGCGCGUAGGCGGUCACCGCAAGUCAAUUGUGAAAUCUCCGGGCUCAACCCGGAACGGUCAACUGAUACUGCGGGGCUAGAGUGCAGAAGGGGCAACUGGAAUUCUCGGUGUAGCGGUGAAAUGCGUAGAUAUCGGGAAGAACAUCGGUGGCGAAGGCGCUCUACUGGACCACAACUGACACUCAGGGACGAAAGCUAGGGGAGCGAAUGGG
rnacentral:rRNA from 1 species